UACAGAGGUCCCGAGCGUUGUCCGGAUUCAUUGGGCGUAAAGGGUGCGUAGGCGGCGGGGCAAGUCUGAUGUGAAAUCCCGGGGCUCAACCCCGGAACUGCAUUGGAUACUGCCUUGCUUGAGUACUGGAGAGGGAACUGGAAUUUACGGUGUAGCAGUGAAAUGCGUAGAGAUCGUAAGGAAGGCCAGUGGCGAAGGCGAGUUCCUGGACAGUUACUGACGCUGAGGCACGAAGGCCAGGGGAGCAAACGGG
rnacentral:rRNA from 1 species